rnacentral:rRNA from 1 species
UACGUAGGCAGCGAGCGUUGUUCGGAAUUACUGGGCGUAAAGAGUGUGUAGGCGGUGUUCCCAGUCUGUUGUGAAAUCUCCCGGCUUAACUGGGAGGGUGCAGCGGAAACUAGAAUGCUAGAGGGUGGGAGAGGUAAGCGGAAUUCCUGGUGUAGCGGUGAAAUGCGUAGAUACCAGGAGGAACACCGGUGGCGAAGGCGGCUCCUGGACGGAUUAUUGACGCUGGAGGCACGGAAAGCGUGGGGAGCAAACGGG